UCCUACGGGAGGCAGCAGUAGGGAAUAUUGCGCAAUGGACGAAAGUCUGACGCAGCAACGCCGCGUGGGUGAUGGAGCUCCUUGGAGUGUAAAACCCUGUCAGUGGGGAAGAAACGUGUUGGGAGUAACUGCCUGACGCUUGACGGUACCCACAGAGGAAGCACCGGCUAACUCCGUGCCAGCAGCCGCGGUAAUACGGGGGGUGCGAGCGUUGUUCGGAUUUACUGGGCGUAAAGGGCGUGUAGGCGGACCCUCAAGUCGGAUGUGAAAACUGGCGGCUCAACCACCAGCCUGCAUUCGAUACUGUAGGUCUUGAGUACAGAAGAGGAAAGCGGAAUUCCAGGUGUAGCGGUGAAAUGCGUAGAUAUCUGGAAGAACACCAGUAGCGAAGGCGGCUUUCUGGUCUGAUACUGACGCUGAAACGCGAAGGCUAGGGGAGCAAACAGGAUUAGAUACCCUGGUAGUCCUAGCGGUAAACGAUGGGUACUAGGUGUCGGGGGUAUCGACCCCCUCGGUGCCGCAGCUAACGCAUUAAGUACCCCGCCUGGGGAGUACGGUCGCAAGAUUGAAACUCAAAGGAA
rnacentral:rRNA from 1 species